GUCAUUGUGUUGCACUGUUGGAGGAGCCUGUGACCUCAGAUUGUCAUUGACAUAUCUACACUGUAGCUAUGCACACGUGACAAGAAAAGCCUUGACUCUUGAGAUCCUUAUAUUUGACCA